UAUAGUAAGUCUGAGAGAGUGUUUGAGGGAACCACCUCUUGAUUAUUACUUAGACCUCUGAUAUAAUUACAUGUAAAGUAAUACUCUUUAAAAAAUAGCAUCUUAUGGCCACAAUGACAUGAACACAUGAUGUUUCUCUCUGUCAUUUGGCGAGGAGCCUCAGGCAUAGCCUUAAUCAUAGUCUUUAGCUCAGAAUUCCUGCCAGGAUAAUGUAGAAGCAAAGUGAAAGUGAAGUUGCUCAGUUGUGUCCCACUUUUUGAGAUGCCAUGGACUGUAGCCUGACAGGUUCCUCCGUCCUUGGGAUUUUCCAGGAGCAGGAGAGAAGGGACUAUAGGACCCUCUCUGAUGACACCAGCGGGGGAACGGCUGUAUCUCAUGUCCCUUCAAAUCCUUUCUAACCGAGAGCUGUGCACUGGAAUAUUUUGGAUUAGGAUUUUGGUCUGGCUUUGUCCCCUCUGCUUGUUUGAUCUGCGUGAGAGCAGGAGAGACCAUAAUGUCUCUAGGUCUUUUUCAGGGCUCAGUCUUCGGAUCUGAUUAAAGGUGUACUUCUGAGUA